ensembl:lncRNA
GGAGACUCAUAUUUAAGUAAGGAGAAACAGGAAGUGUCCCUUUUCCCCUCCGCUCUUCCUCCAGCAGCACAAUGUGAUCCACCAGCAAGGAAUGACACCAAUGGAAGGUGUCCAAUAAGAUAAGUCUUAUAAAAUAUAUAGAUUUAUGAUAAUUAAAACUGAGUUAACAGAUGAGAAUCCUAGUCAUUGGCCAAGCAGCAUUUGUACCUAAUAUAAGUCUGUGUAUUAUUUUGUCCAUCCACGUGGCAGGCAGAACACUGGCAGCUGGCAGAGACCUCCCACGUGGCGGUAGAACUAGGGUGUCUUUUGGCGGAAAGAUUUAUCAUAACACUGGACUCUGACUACUGGGUGAACCUUACACAAACCCCUUAGCUUUGUUCCUUCUUCAACUCUCAAGUGGCAUGUUGACUAGGAUGAUUCGUUCGGAGGCUCCUCCAGCCCUCAACAUUCUGUGAGUCAGACUCUUGGGAUUAGUGGCCACCAACUCUGUCCUUCCCCCAGCUGAGUCACCUCUAAGGCAGGGAGGGGAUUCUUUGGGGCUGAACAGGAAACAUACACAGAGUCCACCCAAGUUCCAUUCUCAGAGGCAAGAAUAAGUAGGGAAUGCCUGAAGUCAGGACAGAUAUCAGAGGCAGCUCCCCUCCGGUGAUCAUCCUGGCUGGUCCUGGAGACCUGUGCUCACUUCCUCAAGACUAGGGCCCCUGGACCAGGCCGUCUUCUUCUAAGGACAUGCCCUCCCCCAGCACACACAACACAGGCAUGUGGGUCUCCGGAAUUCCUCUGUUUUUCCUGUUUGUAUCAGUUCCCAUGUCCAGUGUGCCUACUGAUGCUAUCCUAAGACUUUACCACAAGAAGGCAAAGGUGUCCUUCCUGGCUGCUUUCCUGAGAGUGGUUGAGAAUUACAACUCACAGACAAGGUGUCUCCUUGGGGGUCUUAGCCUGUAAAGGGCUCCACCACUGUCUAUUCCACUGCAUGGAACUUAGUGAAGCCUACCAUGGACUAUUAAACACAUCUGAGAGUCCUGGGCUUCCCACAGCAACCCCACAUCGUUUGCCCACUUUAAUGAUGCAGAGAAUGAGGUUUGGUGAUUCAUCAAAGGCUGAACUAGGAUGUGGCCCAGCCAGGACUCAAACUGAGGUCUGUCAGGUUUCCAGUCCACUGUGUUCUCCCUCAGGAGCCAGAGCUAAGCCCUAAAUAAUCUUCAGCAUGAGUGUGAACCAUCUGAAAAGCCACUAAGUAGAUUCCAUGUCUUUUUUCACCCAAGAAAAGCAUGGUCUAGUUUAACUUCAGGCCUAAAAGGCAAAAAAUAAGUGGGUUACAGUUCACCACCUUACAGCACAUUAAAGUUAGACUUCUAGGUUCCUCUUGAUUCUCCCCAAUAAAGUUGUAACUUACGAGAUUUGCAGUGAAGAAACUGCGGAAGUCAGUCUUCCUGGUUUUACAUCUCUGGUAUCACAAUGUUGCCCCAGACAAACUAUGGAGACUAAGCCUCAGCCAACCUGUGUCUACAUGGAGAUGAGAGUCAUACAUACCUUGUCGUGUUGUUAUGAGGGGUAAAUAAGAUCCUGCAUGUAAAAAAGCAUUUAACAUGGAGUCUGGCAUAUGGCAGGAGCUCGAUAAAUCCCAGCCAUUAUUAUUACCAUAAUAUCUCUGUGCAUAAAUCUAUCUGCAACUCUGAUUGUUUUCUUAGGACAGAUGCCAGAGGGUAAAAUCACUGUAUCAAUGGGUGGCUCUUCAUACAUAAUGCGUAAUUAUCCCCCAGAAAUUGUCAAGCAGUUUAUACAUCCAACCCAGAAUCGGCAAGGGAAAUGCAACCACAGGUGAGGCGAAGAAAAACGUCUCAACGGCCAACGCAAGCAGCAAGCAGGGUAAAGAACAUUAUUGCAAUACUUGUCUCUUCACAACUUGCCUGAACAGAAGAGGACACAGAAAGAUGAAUGAUAUAUCACUGCAUGAUAAAUUGAAUUAAGAGAAGAUCUUUGAGAAACACACAGGAAAAUAAGCUUUCAUCCAGUAGCUGCUGGAAGCAGAAGCAGACAUCCACAGCAAAACAUUGAGCUGAACUCUAAAAUCCAGUUGCAGAGAUGGAGGAGUGACGAGCAAGGCUGGAGAAACCCACAAAAACAGCUGACCAGAACAAGGGGUUGCUCAUGGACCCGAGACUGAUAUAGCUGGGAAACCAGCAUAGGACUGCUCCAGACCCCCUGAAGGGGAAAGCCACUUUGGAGUCUGGACAAUCUAUGGGGCCACUGGCAGUGGAUCAGUAUUUACUCCUAGUACACAAAUGGACUUUGGGAGCCCUCUCCACACAGAAGGAUACUCUCUCAGCCUAGACACACUGGAGAGGAUCUAGGCGCUGCUCCAAAUAUGACAGACUUUUAAGAUCCCCCAUGGUAGGCCUCGCCCUCCCUGGGGAGCAGAAAGGGUUUGGGAAAAAGGGUGGGGGGAGCGGGCAGGGGAAGAGGGGAGGGAGAGGGAACUGAGAUUGACAUGUAGAAGAAGCUUGUUUCUAAUUUAAAUUUAAAAAGAAAAGAAAUAAAAUAAAAUAUAGCAUUCUAAAAAAAGGAAGAAAAAUAAAAAAAAUAAGAAUUGCCAUUGAAGCAUCACUAUGUCCACAAACUAAGAUCAAAAUACACAUUUCUUUUAAAAAGAGCCUUAUUAAACCAGGCAUGGUGGUUUAUGCCUUUAAUCCCAGCGCUGAGGAGGCAAAGGCAAGCAGAUCACUGUGAGUUCAAGACCAGCCUAGUCUACUUGUAAGUUUCAGGGCUUCACAGUAAGAUCCUGUCUCAAAAAGAAGAGAAGAAGGGAAGAAGAAAAGAAGAAAGAAAGAGAGAUAGAGUAUAAAGAAAACGAAAUUAUGUCAGGUAGUGAUAACAUUAUUAAUAAUUCCAUAACAUGAGUAUAAGGAAAGUAUCAAAAUCAGGUAAUGUUCCUAUUAGUCAUGUGUGCAUCUACACACAGGAGUGCAUGCACACAGAGAGAUGCAACAACUAUCAUAAGUUUAAAACAGUGUUCAGACACACUUGCCAAGACAAACCAGCCACAAAAUGCAGCAUCUCACCAGACAUAUACCAUUUGUUGCAUAGGAUUAUCUAUAAAAAGUGAAUUUAAAGCUGAUUGCUAUAUCCAAAAUAUUAACACUGGUUUUAUUUUUUAAGUUAAUAUUUUAUUCAUUUUUUGGGAAGAGGGGUGCAUGGCUCACAUGUGGAAGUCAGAGGACAACUUGUAGACAUCCAUUCUCUCCUUCCACUGCUUGGGUCCAGGGACGGAACUCAAUCAUCGGGUUGUGUGGCAAGUGCCUUUACCUUGUGAGCCACACAUCCCCUCACUGGUUUUGGGAGGAUUGUUUCAGUUACAGAAUUAUGGUGUGAUUCCUUCUUGACUCCCAGAAGCAAAAGCACAUCACCAGUUCACUGAUGACCUUGGGUGCAAGAAGUUGAUAUUAUCCCAGUUCUAUUCCCUCAGUUCUGCUCAAGGGAAAAUGGUACUGAAGUCAAUGACAUUUCAUUUGCCACAGUACCAAGAAGUCAUGUUGAAGGAUGUGUGAGUGGCAUGGUCUGCUGGAUUUGGGGGCCCACUGUAUUCACUGGGGGUCAGCACAGCCUCUCAAGAACUCUUCUGCCCUCUGUGUGGAUAAUGGAACACUGAGACAUGGGAAACUAAAGGCAUAACCUAAAAUCGUCAUCCUUUGAGCCACCUAAAGAUCUCCUCUACUAUUUAGAGUAUUGAGAACCUUGUGAAAUAUAAACUAGCAUAUCCGUGAUGGAGAAUGGUAUGAAGCUUCCUCAAAAACAAAACAAAAACUACUACCAUUACACCAAAAAAAGUGCAAUGAUAUGUGUGUAUAAAAUAUUCAUUACCUAUAUGCUAACUAAAAAUAUUUAGUAAAGAGGGAAGAAAGAACUCUCAUGUGAUUCAAUACUGGGUAUGUAUUGAAAAGAAAUUAAAUCCAUAUAAUGAAAAGAUAUAUGAACUCCCAUGUUUACUAAAACACUAUCAGACUAUCAGUCAUGGCCAAUAUGUAGAACGAACAAAAUAGUCUAUAAAUGGAUGAAUGGAUAAAGAAAUUCUGUUAUACAUAUGAAAUGGAAUAUUACUCAGCAGUAUAAAAGGAUGAAACCCUGGCAUUUGGAUGGAACAUUAUGUUUAGUGUAAUAUGAAGAGAACAAAAAAUACCAUGUAUUCUCUUUCAUAUGCAGAAGCUUAUGGAAUUGAUUUCCUGACAUUGGAAACUAUAACAAUGGUUACUAGAGGCUAAGAUGAGCAAGGAACAAGGAGGAUAUCGGGACAUUGCACGAAAAUAAGUAAUAAAAAAAAAAGUACCAAUGUUCUGUGUAUUGCAAUGAGAAUACAAAAAAUAC